UCUGGCAUUCAUCCAGCAGCACUUGCGUGGCAUUUGUGUUGAGCUAGCAGAUCAGUUGCUGUAGAGUGGAGAUAGGUUCCUGAGCUUGCACGCGCAAGGGCAUGGCCAAGGCUUUCGUACUCCGAGGUGUGGUGGUGGUGGCUUGCGCGCUCUUGCUUCUCUCGUCCUCUUUCGUCGCAGCUGCGCCAGGUGGCCGGCAAUGGGGAACAGUGGCGCCGACGAUGUUGACGAGAGGGCGUUUUGUAAGAAAGGUGCUGCGGGAGGAGAUGGUCCAGGCGGACGACGACGGUGUCGUCGACAUUGGCGGCUCUAAGAGGAAGAGUCCCGGUGGCCCAGACCCACAGCAUCAUUAACUGAUGUCGAGGUCGCCUUGUAUGCAGUUUCUCUACAACGGCAUCAUAUACAUGGGACCUGAAUCCCAGGAUAGAUCGAUCGAUCAAGUUUGUGUUCUUGUCUUGAUAUAGCGAAAGAGAUGGUUUUGUUUCCCAAGCAAAUCUAUACAUGUUGUAUACACAGUAUAGUAGGAGAUGCAGCACAAGUUUGUGGAAAAGAUCAAAAGUUGUAACUUGUUUUCUCAAAAAAGGAAUAAAAUUUAGUUUUCAUCC